rnacentral:lncRNA from 1 species
AUGAUGAGUGAUUUUUAUACAGCUGCUCUAUGCCAGUCACAUGGGUGCCAAGAACAUAAAGAUGGAGAAAAGAACCACGACACCAAGGGACAGAGAAGAGAAAAAAAUGUGAUCAAGGCCCAAGAUAUUGUUUAUUCCAUGGACAUAUAACAUGAGUGAAAAAUGUCUUUGUCACUGCAAAUUAAGAUGGCAGAAUAGAAGGACUGGAGCUCAAUGUCUCUCAUAAAAACAACAAAACUACAACCAAAUGCUGAGCAACAUUCGAUCAAAUGGACUGGAAACUUUCAAAAAGACAUCCUACUCCAGAAGACAAAGAAGAAGCCACAUCAAGAGGUAGGAGGGGAAAUUACAUGAUAUAAGCAACCCCAUACCUCCUGGGUGGGAAACCCAAAGACCAGAAAGUAACUGUAUCACAGACACUCACCUAUAGGAGUGAGAGUUCUGAGCCCCACAUCAAAUCCCCAUACCUGGGGAUCUGGCAUUGGGAGAAAGAGCCCCCAGAGCAUCUGGCAUUGAAGGCCAGUG